GGCAGCAGCUGAGACCAGGCGCUGCCGCAACCUGCGUGCGCGCCUGCGCAGUGCGUUUUCGUAAGAGGCGUGUGACCCAGGAGCUUGCACUACGCAUGCGUCCUUUCUCCGCUUUGCUGAAGCCCGGAAACGCCGGGACUGUGAUUGUGCGCUCUCCAGGUAUUGUUACCUUGGUCUCCCAAGACUUAAAGGUCUUUUCUUUUUGCAAAGCGGAAAAAAAAAACUAUCUGCCUCAAGCCUCAGCUGAGCAGCCUUCUAGUCCACGCUUUGCGAGUCCUCGUUCACGCUCGCGACGCUGGGAGUAGGAUAAACUGGUUGGUAGACGCGCGUCUGGCAGCCGAAAAGACACAUCAUUUAAAAUUUAGAACCUCUUGCCCGGCAGAAGUCUCUCCUUUCCUUAGUUGUCUGUCCUCCUUCUCAGCCCCCCACCUCUCCUUUCUUCUCUCUUUCACAUACACCUCAUUCUCAACUUCCUCUUCUCUCUUUCACAUUCCUCCUCUUCUUGUGCUCUUCUGUCUUCUACCUCAUCUUUCCUUUUCUAUCUUUUUUCCCUCUUUUGUUCUCUCUUAUUCUUAUUUUAAAUAUAAGUAUUUUUCUGUGCCAGAAAUCCAUAAUAGGGAGCCAGAGUUGGGAGACCUAUAAGAAGACUUUUCAUGACUAGGAUGGUGAGUAGUACAUAUGAUAUAUGGUAUGUGGUUAUAUUUGGGAUUUGAAGGUUGAGCCAACUACACUUACUGAUGGAUUGAAUAUAAUAGGUGGGCUGGGGAGGUAAAUCAUAAUGACUCCAAUGAUUUUGCCCUGAGAAAAGUAUAGAUUGUGGUAUCAUCAACUGAAAUGGAGAAACAUGUUUGGCUGGGGGUUAUAUAUGGGGUAAGACAGAAGUUUUUUAGUGUUUUCAUUUUGGCAUACCUUUUCAGCAUCAAGUAGAGAUGUAGGGUAGUCUGGAGCCCAGGGAAGAGAUCAAAGCUAGCUAUAUUCAUUGGGUUGUUAUGGCAAAUCUAUACUAGUGAGGCCUUUGAUGAGUUAGGCUCCCAAAAUUCCUUCCUCUGGACUGUAGGCAGAACCUGUGAACCUCUGACUUGCUUUUGACAUAUACACUGUGACAAGGGUGAUGGAAUGUCACUCCCAUGGUUAUGUUAUAGAAGUAUCUUAGCAGACAGAAGAGAUUCUCUUGCUGGCCUUGAAUAAGCAGUCAUGUUGUGAACUCCCUACAGAUAAGGGCCACAUGGCAGGUAAUUGAAGGUGGCCGGGGACCCGAGGGCAGCCUCUGUCCAACAACCAGUAAGAAGCUGGGCUCUAGGACACAGAGCUGCAUAGAAAUUCUGUCAAAAACCUGGAGGAGUGUUAGAAGUCGAUCCUUUCCUAGUUGAGUUAUAGCUCAAGAACACAUCUGAGAACACAGCCAGCCCGGCAGACACGUCAACUGAAGCCUUGUGAGACACUAAGCAAAAGACUCAGCCAAGCUACCCCUCCACUGCCGAAACACAGAAACUGCUAAGCUGCUAAAUCUGCCGUAAUUUGUUAUCCAUCAACAGAUAACUAACACAGUUGUCAUCAACUGUAGAUAGUAUUUAGUACAUGGAACUGGAUGAAAUCACUUAGACUAUAAUGCCCAAAUAACAAUCCAACACUAGUUAUAGAU
ensembl:lncRNA